CGCAGGCGGUUUCUUAAGUCUGAUGUGAAAGCCCCCGGCUCAACCGGGGAGGGUCAUUGGAAACUGGGAAACUUGAGUGCAGAAGAGGAGAGUGGAAUUCCACGUGUAGCGGUGAAAUGCGUAGAGAUGUGGAGGAACACCAGUGGCGAAGGCGACUCUCUGGUCUGUAACUGACGCUGAGGAGCGAAAGCGUGGGGAGCGAACAGGAUUAGAUACCCUGUAGGUCCACGCCU
rnacentral:rRNA from 1 species